UGACCUCAAAUCAGGUAGGACUACCCGCUGAACUUAAGCAUAUCAAUAAGCGGAGGAAAAGAAACUAACAAGGAUUCCCCUAGUAACUGCGAGUGAAGCGGGAAAAGCUCAAAUUUAAAAUCUGUCAGUCUUUGGCUGUCCGAGUUGUAAUCUAGAGAAGUGUUAUCUGCGCUGGACCGUGUACAAGUCUCCUGGAAUGGAGCGUCAUAGAGGGUGAGAAUCCCGUCUCUGACACGGACUGCCAGGGCUUUGUGAUGCGCUCUCAAAGAGUCGAGUUGUUUGGGAAUGCAGCUCAAAAUGGGUGGUAAAUUCCAUCUAAAGCUAAAUAUUGGCGAGAGACCGAUAGCGAACAAGUACCGUGAGGGAAAGAUGAAAAGAACUUUGGAAAGAGAGUUAAACAGUACGUGAAAUUGCUGAAAGGGAAACGCUUGAAGUCAGUCGCGUUGUCCAGGGAUCAACCUUGCUGUUGCUUGGUGUACUUUCUGGUUAACGGGUCAGCAUCAAUUUUGAUCAUUGGAAAAAGGUUAGGGGAAUGUGGCAUCUUUGGAUGUGUUAUAGCCCUUGAUUGUAUACAAUGGUUGGGAUUGAGGAACUCAGCACGCCGCAAGGCCGGGUUUUUAACCACGUACGUGCUUAGGAUG
rnacentral:rRNA from 1 species